GGAUAACCUACCCUUGGGUCGGGUAUAAACCCGGGAAACUGGGUAUAAUACCCGAUAGAUCUAGAUGGCUGGAAUGCGUCUAGAUUCAAAGUCCCGACGCCCAAGGAUGGGUCUGCGGCCUAUCAGGUUGUAGUGGGUGUAAUGUACCUACUAGCCUUAAACGGGUACGGGUUGUGAGAGCAAGAGCCCGGAGAUGGAUUCUGAGACACGAAUCCAGGCCCUACGGGGUGCAGCAGGCGCGAAACCUUUACAAUGCGGGCAACCGCGAUAAGGGGACCUCGAGUGCCGACAUCUAAUGUCGGCUGUCGUGAUGCCUAAAAAGCAUUAUAUAGCAAGGGCCGGGCAAGACCGGUGCCAGCCGCCGCGGUAACACCGGCGGCUCGAGUGGUGACCGCUAUUAUUGGGUUUAAAGGGUCUGUAGCCGGCCGGAUUAGUCUCUUGGGAAAUCUGGCCGCUUAACGGUCAGGCUUUCAGGAGAUACUGUCUGGCUCGAGGCCGGGAGAGGUGAGAGGUACUUCAGGGGUAGGGGUGAAAUCUUGUAAUCCUUGAAGGACCACCAGUGGCGAAGGCGUCUCACCAAAACGGACCUGACGGCAAGGGACGAAAGCUAGGGGCACGAACCGGAUUAGAUACCCGGGUAGUCCUAGCCGUAAACGAUACUCGCUAGGUGUCGGCCGCGGUGCGACCGUGGUCGGUGCCGUAGGGAAACCGUGAAGCGAGCCACCUGGGAAGUACGGCCGCAAGGCUGAAACUUAA
rnacentral:rRNA from 1 species